rfam:Halogeometricum borinquense DSM 11551, complete genome.
UGUAACUGGCUACUGUACUGGCUGGUGAAUGGCUCGGCUCGAGAGCCGACGAAGGACGUGCCAAGCUGCGAAAAGCCUGAGGGAGCCGCACGGAGGCUAAGAACUCAGGAUCUCCGAAUGGGAAUCCCUACAACAAUUGCCAACGCGCAAUAGGGAACGUUCCGAAUUGAAACAUCUCAGUAGGAACAGGAACAAAAAGCAAUCCGCGAUGUCGUUAGUAACGGCGAGUAAACGCGACACAGUCCAAACCGAAUCCGCAAGGAAAUGUGGUGUACGGACAAUCUACAACGGAUCACCAACACACGAGAAGUCUCCUGGAACGGAGCGUGAUACAGGGUGACAACCCCGUAUCGUGUGAACGCGAUCCCGAGAUUGCUCCAGAGUAGCGGGGGUUGGAUAUCCCUCGUGAAUCUCGCAGGCAUCGACUGCGAAGACUAAACACUCCUCGAGACCGAUAGCGAACAAGUAGCGCGAGCGAACGCUGAAAAGCACCCCGAAAAGGGCGGUGCAAUAGGGCCUGAAAUCAGUCAGUGAUAGAGCGACGGGGCAUACAAGGUCCUCGGAAAAACGACCGUGGGGCGACCCACCAGUAGGAAUCCGAGGAAGCCGGUGUUCUGUCGUACGUUUUGAAAAACGAACCAGGGAGUGCACUUACUUGGCGAGUCUAACUGGAUCAUCCAGGAAGGCGCAGGGAAACCGACAAGGCCGCAGCAUUGCGAGGGCCGCCGUGUUCAAGCGCGGGGAGUCAAGUGGGUGCGACCCGAAACCAGAUGAUCUACACGAGGGCAAGACGAAGCGUGGCGAAAGCCACGUGGAGGUCUGUUAGGGUUGGUGUCUUACAAUACCCUCCCGUGACCCGUGUGUAGGGGUGAAAGGCCCAUCGAAUCUGGCAACAGCUGGUUCCAGCCGAAACAUGUCGAAGCAUGACCUCAGCCGAGAUAGUCUGCGAGGUAGAGCGACCGAUUGGAAGACCCGCCUCCGAGAGGAGUCGGCCUUCCUGUCGAACUCCAAACUUGCAGACGUCGUAGACGCUGGGAAUCCGGACUGCGGGGUAAGCUUGUGGUCCGUGAGGGAGACAACCCAGAGCCGGGUUAAGGUCCCCAAGUGUGGAUUAAGUGCGAUCGAAGAUUGUCUCGAGCCCUAAACAGCCGGGAGGUGAGCUUAGAAGCAGCUACCCUCUAAGAAAAGCGUAACAGCUUACCGGCCGAGGUUCGAGGCGUCGAAAAUGAUCGGGGCUCAAAUCCACCACCGAGACCUGGCAGCAGGCGACACCAUACGCCUGACCUAGUAGGCUGGCAUACUGUGCGGGUGGAAGCUCGGGCGAGAGCUCGCGUGGACCGCUCAGUAACGAAAAUCCUGGUCACAGUAGCAGCGAGAGUCGGGUGCGAACCCCGACGACCUUACGAGUAAGGGUUCCUCGGCACUGCCAAUCAGCCGAGGGUUAGUCGAUCCUAAGUCUCACCGUAACUCGAAUGAGACAAACGGGAAACUGGUUAAUAUUCCAGUACCAUCACCACUCAAAGCCGACGCUUUGGGAAACUUCAAGCCGGGCCUUCGCCCGGUCGAAUCACGGAAGCUCGUGGAAGCCGUAACGGCACGAAGCGAACGAAGCGUGAGACAGCGCAAGUUGAAGGUACCUAGAGCCCGUGAAAAGGCAAGCGUGAUGAUCGUACCGAGAUCCGACACAGGUACUCUGGCGGAGAAAGCCAAGGUCUGUCGGGAUCAACCGACGUUAGGGAAUUCGGCAAGUUAGUCCCGUAAGUUCGCGAUAAGGGAUGCCUGCUCCUGACCGAGCAGGUCGCAGUGACUCGGGCGCUCCAACUGUCUAGUAACAACAUAGGUGACCGCAAAUCCGCAAGGACUCGUACGGUCACUGAAUCCUGCCCAGUGCAGGUAUCUGAACACCUCGUACAAGAGGACGAAGGACCUGUCAACGGCGGGGGUAACUAUGACCCUCUUAAGGUAGCGUAGUACCUUGCCGCUUCAGUAGCGGCUUGCAUGAAUGGAUCAAUGAGAGCGCCACUGUCCCAACGUUGGGCCCGGUGAACUGUACGUUCCAGUGCGGAGUCUGGAGACCCCCAAGGGGAAGCGAAGACCCUAUAGAGCUUUACUGCAGGCUGUCGCUGGGACGUGGUCGCUGAUGUGCAGCAUAGGUAGGAGACACUACACAGGUAUCCGCGCUAGCGGACCACCGAGUCAUCAUUGAAAUACUACCCGUCAGUGACUGCGACCCUCACUCCGGGAGGAGGACACCGGUAGCCGGGCAGUUUGACUGGGGCGGUACGCGCUCGAAAAGAUAUCGAGCGCGCCCAAAGAUUUCCUCACGCGAGUCGGAAACUCGUGGAAGAGCGCAAGAGCACACGGAAGUCUGACAGUGUCAUUCCCAACGAGUGACGCUGACGCGAAAGCGUGGUCUAGCGAACCUACGAGGUUCAUUCAUGGGACCCGUAGAUGACAGAAAAGCUACCUUAGGGAUAACAGAGUCGUCACCGGCAAGAGCACAUAUCGACCCGGUGGCUUGCUACCUCGAUGUCGGUUCCCUCCAUCCUGCCUGUGCAGAAGCAGGCAAGGGUGAGGUUGUUCGCCUAUUAAAGGAGGUCGUGAGCUGGGUUUAGACCGUCGUGAGACAGGUCGGCUGCUAUCUAUUGGGGGUGUUACGGUACUUGACGGGAACGAUCGUAUAGUACGAGAGGAACUACGAUUGGUCGCCGCUGGUGUAUCGGUUGUCCGAAAGGGCAGAUGCCGAGUAGCUACGCGACACGGGGUAAGAGCUGAACGCAUCUAAGCUCGAAACCCACCUGGAAAAGAAGUACCACCGAGGACACUUGUAGAAGACAAGUUCGAUAGACUUGGGAUGUACGUGCCGAGGCAACGAGGCAUUCAGUCCACGAGCACUAACAGUCCAAAGCCACAUUCA